rnacentral:rRNA from 1 species
CAGCCGUAAACUAUGCUCGCUAGGUGUCAGGCAUGGCGCGACCGUGUCUGGUGCCGCAGGGAAGCCGUGAAGCGAGCCACCUGGGAAGCACGGCCGCAAGGCUGAAACUUAAAGGAAUUGGCGGGGGAGCACAACAACGGGUGGAGCCUGCGGUUUAAUUGGACUCAACGCCGGACAACUCACCGGGGACGACAGCAAUAUGUAGGCCGGGCUGAAGACCUUGCCUGAAUCGCUGAGAGGAGGUGCAUGGCGUAGACGUCU